rnacentral:rRNA from 1 species
ACGUAAUUCAUUACGAAGUUUAAUUCAUUGAGCAUCAAACUUUUAAAUUGAAGAGUUUGAUCAUGGCUCAGAUUGAACGCUGGCGGCAGGCCUAACACAUGCAAGUCGAACGGUAACAGGAAGCAGCUUGCUGCUUUGCUGACGAGUGGCGGACGGGUGAGUAAUGUCUGGGAAACUGCCUGAUGGAGGGGGAUAACUACUGGAAACGGUGGCUAAUACCGCAUAACGUCGCAAGACCAAAGAGGGGGACCUUCGGGCCUCUUGCCAUCAGAUGUGCCCAGAUGGGAUUAGCUUGUUGGUGAGGUAACGGCUCACCAAGGCGACGAUCCCUAGCUGGUCUGAGAGGAUGACCAGCCACACUGGAACUGAGACACGGUCCAGACUCCUACGGGAGGCAGCAGUGGGGAAUAUUGCACAAUGGGCGCAAGCCUGAUGCAGCCAUGCCGCGUGUAUGAAGAAGGCCUUCGGGUUGUAAAGUACUUUCAGCGGGGAGGAAGGUGUUGUGGUUAAUAACCGCAGCAAUUGACGUUACCCGCAGAAGAAGCACCGGCUAACUCCGUGCCAGCAGCCGCGGUAAUACGGAGGGUGCAAGCGUUAAUCGGAAUUACUGGGCGUAAAGCGCACGCAGGCGGUCUGUCAAGUCGGAUGUGAAAUCCCCGGGCUCAACCUGGGAACUGCAUUCGAAACUGGCAGGCUUGAGUCUUGUAGAGGGGGGUAGAAUUCCAGGUGUAGCGGUGAAAUGCGUAGAGAUCUGGAGGAAUACCGGUGGCGAAGGCGGCCCCCUGGACAAAGACUGACGCU